ACAUCUUAAAAUAUCUCACUGAACACAUCUCAAAAUAUCCCACACUGAACACAUCUCAAAAUAUCCCACUAGACUGGAAGUAUGAAGUGCCCUUCCUGGAAAGGAAGUUUCGAGAGACAGGGACGAGAGCCUUCGAGGACGUUCUCGAGUCUCGAGAUUCCGGUAUAAAAGGCAGCGUAGACACCGACCGGAUACAGUUUAAUCUUGAAAGUGAAAGAGUACAGUACAAAGUGAAAUAAAGUGUUGCGAAUUGUUACCCUUCAAGCAAGAAAACUGAGUUCAACAAAGAAACUCCGACCUCAGACCGCGAAAAUCGGGGUUGCACUCACACACUUACAUCUUUUUGUGUAUGAACACAAAAGUCGAACGAGAAUCGUGGUGAAAAAUGAGAAAAGGAAAAGAAAGACAAGGCCAACAAGAGCCAAAGCGUCAUUAUGUUAUUUUUUGUUGAAGUGUUUGGUCGCGUCGUGUCUCGUGUCGUUGUUUGUAUAAUGUUAGAUUAUUAACUAUAAACAAUUAUAUUAAAUUAUAAACAAUAUGGAAAACAAAAAAGAUGUAAUCUCUAAGAAAAAUCCAGAAGGUGAAACAUGCGAUUGGGUAUCUAAAAAAAAAACACCAACAACAGCAGCAGCAUCAAAUGAAAUAAAAUGAAAAAAAUAUAUUGUAUUUUAUAUUGUAUUUAUUGUGAAAAUUUCGUUUGCCAAAAUAAAAUAAAAAAUAAAACA